AGUGAACGCUGGCGGCAGGCCUAAUACAUGCAAGUCGAACGGCAGCACAGCAGAGCUUGCUCUGUGGGUGGCGAGUGGCGGACGGGUGAGGAAUACAUGGGAAUCUGCCCAGUCGUGGGGGAUAACGUAUGGAAACGUACGCUAAUACCGCAUGCGCCCUACGGGGGAAAGUCGGGGACCGCAAGGCCUGACGCGAUUGGAUGAGCCCAUGUUCGAUUAGCUAGUUGGCGGGGUAAAGGCCCACCAAGGCGACGAUCGAUAGCUGGUCUGAGAGGAUGAUCAGCCACACUGGAACUGAGACACGGUCCAGACUCCUACGGGAGGCAGCAGUAGGGAAUAUUGGACAAUGGGGGCGAACCCUGAUCCAGCCAUGCCGCGUGAGUGAAGAAGGCCCUCGGGUUGUAAAGCUCUUUUGUCCGGAAGAAAGCAAUCGGUUAAUACCCGGUUGUUCUGACGGUACCGGAAGAAUAAGCACCGGCUAACUACGUGCCAGC
rnacentral:rRNA from 1 species